rnacentral:rRNA from 1 species
UACGGAGGGUGCUAGCGUUGCUCGGAAUUACUGGGCGUAAAGCGCACGUAGGCGGCUUCUUAAGUCGGAGGUGAAAUCCUGGAGCUCAACUCCAGAACUGCCUUCGAUACUGGGAAGCUCGAGUCCGGGAGAGGUGAGUGGAACUGCGAGUGUAGAGGUGAAAUUCGUAGAUAUUCGCAAGAACACCAGUGGCGAAGGCGGCUCACUGGCCCGGUACUGACGCUGAGGUGCGAAAGCGUGGGGAGCAAACAGG